rnacentral:rRNA from 1 species
AGUGAACGCUGGCGGUAGGCCUAACACAUGCAAGUCGAACGGCAGCACAGUAAGAGCUUGCUCUUACGGGUGGCGAGUGGCGGACGGGUGAGGAAUACAUCGGAAUCUACUUUUUCGUGGGGAUAACGUAGGGAAACUUACGCUAAUACCGCAUACGACCUACGGGUGAAAGCAGGGGAUCUUCGGACCUUGCGCGAUUGAAUGAGCCGAUGUCGGAUUAGCUAGUUGGCGGGGUAAAGGCCCACCAAGGCGACGAUCCGUAGCUGGUCUGAGGGGAUGAUCAGCCACACUGGAACUGAGACACGGUCCAGACUCCUACGGGAGGCAGCAGUGGGGAAUAUUGGACAAUGGGCGCAAGCCUGAUCCGGCCAUACCGCGUGGGUGAAGAAGGCCUUCGGGUUGUAAAGCCCUUUUGUUGGGAAAGAAAAGCAGCAGGUUAAUACCCCGCUGUUCUGACGGUACCCAAAGAAUAAGCACCGGCUAACUUCGUG